rnacentral:rRNA from 1 species
GAUGAACGCUGGCGGCGUGCCUAAUACAUGCAAGUCGAGCGAACAGACGAGGAGCUUGCUCCUCUGACGUUAGCGGCGGACGGGUGAGUAACACGUGGAUAACCUACCUAUAAGACUGGGAUAACUUCGGGAAGCCGGAGCUAAUACCGGAUAAUAUAUUGAACCGCAUGGUUCAAUAGUGAAAGACGGUUUUGCUGUCACUUAUAGAUGGAUCCGCGCCGCAUUAGCUAGUUGGUAAGGUAACGGCUUACCAAGGCAACGAUGCGUAGCCGACCUGAGAGGGUGAUCGGCCACACUGGAACUGAGACACGGUCCAGACUCCUACGGGAGGCAGCAGUAGGAAUCUUCCGCAAUGGGCGAAAGCCUGACGGAGCAACGCCGCGUGAGUGAUGAAGGUCUUCGGAUCGUAAAACUCUGUUAUUAGGGAAGAACAAAUGUGUAAGUAAUUAUGCACGUCUUGACGGUACCUAAUCAGAAAGCCACGGCUAACUACGUG